AUAAGAUCAGUUUCUAUAGGUAGAGGAUAAUGUGUCCUAAAAUGUAGGUAGAGACAAGUCUGACAGUGGUUUAGACAAGAAGGGCCUCUGCUAAUGGUGGAGAGAUCAAGGAAGAAAAGAGCAAUGUUAAAGUGAGGCUGUCCCCACAGACCGUGCUCAAGCAAACUCGAACUGUGAGCACAUUUCUCUUAAACAAUGAACACUUAGAAUAAAAAUUAAAAUUUCCCACGAAUUUCUAAUUUUAAAAUAGUUUCCCAAGAUUUCAGUGGUAUCGUAUAUAUGCCCAUAAAAUUUUUUGGAUUACUAUUCCCACAAGUGUAAGAUGAAAGGGGACCUGCUCUCCAUUCUAUCUACUCCCUCACUGCAGAUGCCAUUUUGAAGAUCUCAGUUUUACUGAAAGGGGUCUGCUACCCAUAACUUCCCUGGUGUACCAGCAACAAGUGUUCAGUGGACCAUGACAACACAAAGAAUGAUGGAGGAGAGAAAAUGCCAUGCAGAAGUGAUAGUUAAGAUGAAGGUGUGGGAGAGGAGCAGCCCCCAGUAUAUAUUCAGUGUGUCCUCUGAAGUAACAACCAUCCCAUCUGGCUGAGAAGUGAUGGACACGGCUCCUUAACCACACUGUACCCUCCGUUCUUGGCACCUCUCUACCAGAAAGAUAUCGACAAAUUGGAUGGAAUUCAGAGAACAGCAAGAAAAAUGAUUAAAGAGAUGGAGGCAGUGACUUAUGAGGAAAGAUGAAAAGGACUAAAUCUGUAUAGCUUGGCAAAGCAACAACUGAGUGACUUCCUAUUAUCCUUCUCAAAGUUAUUGCUGCAGAGGAAAGAAGCAUAGAUCUUUUACCCACCAGGAAACACCCAAAGCACCUAUUACCAUAAUAGCCAUGGGAAACAGAUGGCACCUCAAAUAAAGGUGGGGGGAAAGAAGGAAAGAAACGGCUUUGGCCUGUGCCUGUUUGACCUCUGAGAGAUACUUUUUGCAAGAAAUUGUUAAGUUUUGGCCCAAAAAGUGGUCGGUCUUUUAUCUUUCUUUGUGGAGGCCAAAAUGCAAACCAGGGUGAAGAAACCAUCAGUGGCAGUUUGGGGAGGCGGAGGAGGGACUCCCUAGACUCAGUGAAUCACCAAGGAAACAUGAGGCCUAUUUCUCUGUGAAGCUAAACUUCAAAAAACAAUCUAAGAGAUACAAAGGGAAAAGUGUGACUGCUCUGACAGCAAAAACAAGCAAAUAUCUCCAGAGGGGAUUAAUCCUUCUGCUUCAAAGUAACUAAAACAAAGAAAGCUGAGCCAGCUUCACUGGAAACAACACUUGUCCGUCAGACAAGGAUGAGCUAAUCAAAAGAAAACACUGUCUGUGUGCAGGACUCAGCGGCCUGGACAGCUAAUACCAAGGAACACGUUUUCACUAUAAAGAUUCAGCUUUCAAAAUCCAGUUCCCUCUUGUAGAGCCACAGGGUUAAAAGGGACCUUAGAGAUCAUCUACAAACCCUCAAUGAAUGCCAGUCUUCGCUUUAUGUCCUUCUUGCCGGACUCUUUUCUGGCCUCUGUUCUGUCAGGAUGUUUCCUGUUUUGCAAAACAGCUUUAGUCCUUGAGUAUAUUUAAUUGCUGGAAAACAGUUCCUCAAAUUUGACCCCAAAUUUAAGUCUAAUUUAUGAAGAAAGUUUUGCCUUUGGAGACAGGUUUAAUUUUACUUCCAUGUGGAAAAUCUUCAAAUAAAAUGAUGACUAUUGUGUACU